rnacentral:rRNA from 1 species
AGAACCUGAAACCGUGUACGUACAAGCAGUAGGAGCACCUUCGUGGUGUGACUGCGUACCUUUUGUAUAAUGGGUCAGCGACUUAUAUUCAGUGGCAAGGUUAACCGUAUAGGGGAGCCGUAGCGAAAGCGAGUCUUAACUGGGCGCUCAGUCUCUGGAUAUAGACCCGAAACCGGGUGAUCUAGCCAUGGGCAGGUUGAAGGUUGAGUAACAUCAACUGGAGGACCGAACCGACUAAUGUUGAAAAAUUAGCGGAUGACUUGUGGCUAGGGGUGAAAGGCCAAUCAAACUCGGAGAUAGCUGGUUCUCCCCGAAAGCUAUUUAGGUAGCGCCUCGGACGAAUACUACUGGGGGUAGAGCACUGUUAAGGCUAGGGGGUCAUCCCGACUUACCAACCCUUUGCAAACUCCGAAUACCAGUAAGUACUAUCCGGGAGACACACGGCGGGUGCUAACGUCCGUCGUGGAGAGGGAAACAACCCAGACCGCCAGCUAAGGUCCCAAAGUAUUGCUAAGUGGGAAACGAUGUGGGAAGGCUCAGACAGCUAGGAUGUUGGCUUAGAAGCAGCCAUCAUUUAAAGAAAGCGUAAUAGCUCACUAGUCGAGUCGGCCUGCGCGGAAGAUGUAACGGGGCUAAGCAAUACACCGAAGCUGCGGCAAUGUCUUUUAGACAUUGGGU